rnacentral:rRNA from 1 species
ACGUAGGAGACGAGCGUUAUCCGGAAUUACUGGGCGUAAAGCGCGAGUAGGCGGAAGUGCAAGUCUUUUGUGAAAGCUCCUGGCUAAACUGGGAGAGGUCGAAAGAUACUGCACAUCUGGAGUAUGGAAGAGGGGUGCGGAAUUCCGGGUGUAGUGAUGAAAUGCGUAGAGAUCCGGAGGAACACCAGAGGCGAAGGCGACACCCUGGGCCGUACCUGACGCUAAGACGCGACAGCACGGGGAGCGAACGG